rnacentral:rRNA from 1 species
AUUGAACGCUUGCGGCAGGCCUAACACAUGCAAGUCGAACGAGUGGCGGACGGGUGAGUAAUGUCUGGGAAACUGCCCGAUGGAGGGGGAUAACUACUGGAAACGGUAGAUAAUACCACAUACCAUCAGAUGGGCCCAGAUGGGAUUAGCUAGUAGGUGGGGUAACGGCUCACCUAGGCGACGAUCCCUAGCUGGUCUGAGAGGAUGACCAGCCACACUGGAACUAAGACACGGUCCAGACUCCUACGGGAGUCAGCAGUGGGGAAUAUUGCACAAUGGGCGCAAGCCUGAUGCAGCCAUGCCGCGUGUAUGAAGAAGGCCUGCGGGUUGUAAAGUACUUUCAGCGAGGAGGCGUUACUCGCAGAAGAAGCACCGGCUAACUCCGUGCCAGCAGCCGCGGUAAUAC